UACGUAGGGGGCUAGCGUUGUCCGGAAUCAUUGGGCGUAAAGCGCGUGUAGGCGGCCCGGUAAGUCCGCUGUGAAAGUCGGGGGCUCAACCCUCGGAUGCCGGUGGAUACUGUCAGGCUCGAGCACAGUAGAGGCAGGUGGAAUUCCCGGUGUAGCGGUGGAAUGCGUAGAGAUCGGGAAGAACAUCAGUGGCGAAGGCGGCCUGCUGGGCUGUUGCUGACGCUGAGGCGCGACAGCGUGGGGAGCAAACAGG
rnacentral:rRNA from 1 species